rnacentral:rRNA from 1 species
AUGUCAUCUCUCAUUGGAUGUCUGAAUUUAGACUCCGGCUGUAGGGUUGUUUGUGUUGUGUGGUAUGAAUUGCCUUUGUACUUCAAAAUGCAUGUAUCAAGUGUCGAUUUUCUAAUAAAACGAUCUGUAUAUCUGCAUUACAGUUGGAAUAUUCAUAUGUAUGGUUUCAUGCUUCCAAGAAUAACAAACACUAUGCACCCAGCUCUCUCUUUUGUGGCCACUAACCAUUCACUUUCUUUUGUUCCUACAACCUGCAUUGGCGUAAGUUUGAUUUUAUAUUGCCUACUUCAAGCACCGAUGGACCACCACAUGUUUGAAUUAUUUGUUUUUCAGAGAUUAUUUCUCUGGAUUUCCAUUUUUAUUGAUCAGAAGGCACGGGUGCAGUUGGGACGGUGGCGUGCCGGAAGGGCUGUCUUGCGAGUUGACCGGAGUGGGAGUACACCGGAGAGGCUUCUGAGAUGGCUGAGGGAUUUGUCUAAGGUUUGCUGGUUGAUUUGUCUUGGCUGGGGUCUGCUUGUUCUCUUGGCUCCUGGGCUGUGCUGCUCGAAGUUGCUUCACUGGUUUCCUUGCAGGCACCCAAGCUUUUCUUCGCGCGAUGGCAUCAGGCACACGGAGGGAGCUCUUCUUCAUUGGUGCGAUGAACAAUGA